rnacentral:rRNA from 1 species
GUAGGAAACUAGAGCUAAUACAUGCCAAAGUCGUAAGGCUGCAUUUAUUAGAUAUACCAAGACGGUGAAUCAUGAUAACUUAGCAAAUCGAAACCACGUUUCGAUAAAUCAUUCAAGUUUCUGACCUAUCAUGCUCUCGAUGGUAGUGUAUUGGACUACCAUGGCAGUCACGGGUAACGGAGAAUUAGGGUUCGAUUCCGGAGAAAGGAGCCUGAGAAACGGCUACUACAUCUACGGAAGGCAGCAGGCGCGUAAAUUACCCAAUCCUAAAUCGGGGAGGUAGUGACAAGAUAUAACAACGCGACUAAAAAAUCGCGAUUGUAGUGAGGGUAUUCUAAACAUAGCUUCGAGUACGAUUGGAGGGCAAGUCUGGUGCCAGCAGCCGCGGUAAUUCCAGCUCCAAUAGCGUAUAUUAAAGUUGUUGCAGUUAAAAAGCUACGUAGUUGGACUUCAAGAAGACGCAUCUGGCAA